rnacentral:lncRNA from 1 species
GGGUUAUUCAAAUGUUGAUUUCUCUGCCCUAGUAUCCUGUUUCAAUCAGGACAUGUCAUUGUGAUGCUUAUACCAAGAAUCUCCUGUCUCAAGUUUGUGUAAACAGUUCUCACCAUUUAUUCUUUGCCUCCUCAAGAAAUGCUGAUCACCCAAUGGCUCAACAGAAUAGAGAAGAGGGUGGGACAUUGGCCAACCAGAGGAAAAAAGAGAAGAGAGGGAAAUUCAGAUGAACUGGUAGAACAGAGGAACUGGAGCCAUGAGGAACAGGACUGAAGAUCAAUAAUAAUAUAACCACAUUCACAGCUAAAGAAGAGGGGCCAUCUGUGCAUUUACAGCUAAAGAAGGAACAUCUAUGCCUUUACUUGCUUGUCAUAACGUCAAGCUAGGAAGCCAACUGACUGGAAAAAAAAAGAGGGCUAUGUGAAAUUCUGUUAGGUUAGAUUAGCCAUCUUUUAAAUGUCUUAUUUUAUUCUACGCAUAUGGGUAUUUUGCCUGCUUGAGUGAAUGUGUGCCUACUGCCCCCAGAGCCCAGAAAAUGGCAUUGGAUCCCCUCAGACUGGAGGUACAGAUGUGUGUGUGAGUCACUAUGUGGGUUCUGGGAUACAGAUACUCACCCAUGACGUCUGGAAUCACAGAGCCAUGUCUCCAGCCCCUGGAUCAGUCAUCAUCAAGACUGUGUGCGCCUGGACUUUGGAAGGGAAUGCACAGCUGAAGUAUCCCUGAACAGCCUUGCUUAUUAAAACAGAAUCCUGAGCACCCACUCUCAUCAAUCAAAUGGUGAAAGGCCUUUGUGGUGAUGCUUUCCAAAAUGGAAGGAGAUUUUAUUGCAGACUGUUGCUUUUUCCCUUUGUAUGUGUGCAUGUGUGUAUGUAAGUUGUGGGGGAGGAGCAGUGGAGGCCAGAGGUCAUCAGAUGUCCUGCUCUUGGCAUGAUCUUGAUCUGCCUUGUUCCUCUGAGACAGGCCCUCUGACUCAGAGCUAUGCUGGAAACCAGCAAGUGUCAGCAAUAUCUCCCCCAGCUCUGCUCCCAACAGCACUGGGAUUUGCAGGCACCUGCAAGGCCACGCCCAGUUUUUUAGGUGAGUAGUGGGGGUUUGAACUCAGAUUCUCAUGCUUGCUUAGCAACUGCUCUUACCUACAGAACCAUCUACCCCGCCUCUGGUGCAUAGCAUUUUAUCUUCUUGUUUCUUUUUUUUUUUUUUUUUUUCUUUUUUUUUUUUUUUCUGGAACAAUUCUCAGAAAAAUUUCUACUUUCCAAGGAACCCAGUGUGUCAAUCUUGUCAGCGUUAUCAGUACAGGGUUCUUGAAGGAAACAAACAGUUCCUUGUCCUAAUUCAAGGUGGAGUGUUUGCUGACUGCAUCGGACGGCUGUCACAUUUGGAUCAGAAGCCGGUUCAGCAGGAAUUCUCUUUACACAAUGGUCUGAUUCAUACAAGAAGUAUUAAGCUUGAAACUUGACUUUUUCUCUUUCCACAAAGCCAAAUGUAACUGAUUGGUCAUGACGGCAUCCCACCUCGGGAGAAAUCAACCCAUAAUGAGAGCACACGAAGGUUCCUUUCUGGAUAAAUAAAAGAGAUUGACCACAACAAAGAGUAGAGUCUUCAGCAAGAUGUCUACUAUAUAUGUUUAUUAGUCUGCCUUCCAUCUCUCUAACAAUGCCUGAACAAACCAACUCUGUGUGUGUGUGUGUGUGUGUGUGUGUGUGUGUGUGUGUGUGUGUGUGCUUGCGUGUAGUAUGCAAUGUUUAUGUAGGUUUGCUCGCCUGUGCAUGUACAUGUCCAUGUGUACACAUGUAGAGG